CCUACGGGUGGCAGCAGUGGGGAAUAUUGCGCAAUGGGCGAAAGCCUGACGCAGCGACGCCGCGUGAGGGAUGAAGGUCUUCGGAUCGUAAACCUCUGUCAGCAGGGAAGAUCGGUCACUGUGCUAAUCAGCAGUGAAUUGACGGUACCUGCAAAGGAAGCACCGGCUAACUCCGUGCCAGCAGCCGCGGUAAUACGGAGGGUGCGAGCGUUAUUUGGAAUUACUGGGCGUAAAGCGCUCGUAGGCGGUAUGUCAAGUCAAGGGUGAAAUCCCCGCGCUCAACGUGGGAACUGCCUUUGAAACUGGCAAACUGGAGUGUGUGAGAGGAUAGUGGAAUUCGAGGUGUAGGGGUGAAAUGCGUAGAUAUCUGGAAGAACAUCAGUGGCGAAGGCGACUAUCUGGCACAUAACUGACGCUGAGGAGCGAAAGCGUGGGUAGCAAACAGGAUUAGAUACCCUUGUAGUC
rnacentral:rRNA from 1 species